rnacentral:rRNA from 1 species
UACGAAGGGGGCUAGAGUUGCUCGGAAUCACUGGGCGUAAAGGGUGCGUAGGCGGGUCUUUAAGUCAGGGGUGAAAUCCUGGAGCUCAACUCCAGAACUGCCUUUGAUACUGAAGAUCUUGAGUUCGGGAGAGGUGAGUGGAACUGCGAGUGUAGAGGUGAAAUUCGUAGAUAUUCGCAAGAACACCAGUGGCGAAGGCGGCUCACUGGCCCGAUACUGACGCUGAGGCACGAAAGCGUGGGGAGCAAACAGGG